AGAUAACUUCAGUACAAAAUCAUUCUGAGAUGAUAUCCUUCAGUGUGUGUGUCUGUGCUGUGGAGUUCUGUGGUGCUGAGCUGUUGGCUUAUGGCAUUGGAUUCCUUCCUCUCUUAAUUGUCUGUAAUAGACAUCGCAGCAUCCAAAGCCACAGUGAUGGUGAUCUGUUUACCACUCAGUCUCAGUUUAAGCUCUUAUCUCUGUACCUUGACCCUUUUAUCUGUAGCCAUGGUGCUGCAGCUCACAAGGUGACCGUGUAGGACGCCUCACACAGCGUCACAGCAUCCCCAGGGUGUGAAUCACUGUCCUUUUUGUUCUGGAUCUGCUCAUACUGUGUGUUUACAUGUUAGUCAAGGCAGCCCUCUUGAAGUGACAGGUGAAUGGGUUUGUGGAACUGACUUGCUGCAACAGCCAUCACUACGCAGUAAAAAAGUAUAAUCAAGCUUAAUUAGAUUGUAAUAAUUCAGAUAACAGGCAGUCCAUGGGAGUGAACGUAAGGAUGGAGUGAGUCACUGACAGCUUGAUAUCUCUGGUUCAUAGUAAAGAAUGAUGUAUUUGUUGUGUCAACGCACAGGGAAACAAUCGCAGGUGUGUGCAAUGACUUCAAGUCCAUAGGAACUCACUGUAGGGCUGAAUUUUUCCACUUGUGUGGCUCUGGGAGAUUUGCCUAUGAGUGCAUGGAGCACCUCCCAUGCUUUGCCACAGAAGUUCUGCACUCAAAGGGAGCUGUAUGAAUGGUCAGGGCAGAGUCUGCUCUGCUGCUGUGUGAAACGCACGGUGAUCUGAAAUCUGAAAGACAUUAAUCUGUAUUUGGGUUCCAUUUCCAGGCAGUGGCAUUGCAGGAGGACGGUGCUCACCCCAGACGUGUGCUGGGGAUUGUUUGCCUGUGCAGCUUUGGGAGGAGGAAACAAAUAGCUGUUAAAGCAUCGGUCAUAGCAAAGCGGCUGAGAAAGUUCUCCUGUUUCAUUUUAACCUGAAAUGCGGUUAGGAGGAGGGGGAAGGAGAAAGAAAUGGGGUAUUUAACAACAUCCACAGAUACAUCUGUUAGCUGUGUGGGGACUGUACGGGGAUGGCGUAUUGAAACAAGCAGCAUUGGAUGCGAAGGGCUCCGUGUCCAGGCAGGGAAGUGCUGUGGCAGUGCCACCACUUCCUGAGCACCGAUGUGGAAGAAUUACCUUUGUCACUGCUGUGAUAUUUUUUUAAUGAGACGGAACUGAGGCUCUGUCAGCACUUAUUAAAACCUCUGCAAGUUCACGUGCACUGACUCAGGGGGAUGAGGAGAGAACGCUGCACGAGGUGCACCAUCACCCAAACAGCACUGAGCUCUUAUUUGUUUUUAAUCUGUUACAAGCGCGUGAACAACUCCUUCCAUCAUUUAUGCUCUGGGAAUAAAGGCUGCUGUUCUCACAGGCUCUGCUUUCAGCUUCAGCUCUGCUCUCUGGGUCAGGGAAAGCGGCCGCGCCGCCGUCACCCCGGGGAAAGGUGACUGCAUGGAGCCGGGCACGGCGCUGUGAUUCCACCCGCACUGCAUCCAUCCGUGCAGAGCGUUCACCGCCGGCAGGGCUGGAUGGAUUGGCAGGAAAACGGCAGGCAGACGGUGUGGACCUUCCCUACAUAGCAGGGCUUCGCCACGCUGCCAGGAGCCCCGGAUCCAUCGCCUCCAGCGGCGUCACAGAUGCGGCACUGCUAACUGCUCAUCUGAGUGUUACAUUGGUAAAAGAAGAGUGGAUGGUUUGAAAGCAAUCCUGCAUCUCAUCCGAAGAGCAGAGGAGAGCAGCAGAACCACCACAGUAACAUCUCCACAGAGCAGCUCUGCAUGUGUCCCACUGCUGUCACCUGGGGUGGAUGCAGAGGAUCCUGAAGUGGAGGUGGCUCAAAGUGGGGCUCCAAGUUGCUCCAUUGUUACCACAGCCUCACAGCACUGCUACAGAAAAGCCACCAGGCUUAAAGAGGCCUUUGGAAAAAUCUGGCUCCUUCCACGAUGACUCAGAGAGGAGGAAACGCAAUCCCUGCUCCGUGUGCCACCCCCGGGACAGAGCAGUGCUGACACCAUCGCAGCCUUCGCCCUGAGAAGCCCUGGGAGGGUCAGGGCUGUUCCUUCCAGGUGUGAGGGUGGCGGAGAUACAGA
ensembl:lncRNA